rnacentral:rRNA from 1 species
CACGAGCGGCGAACGGGUGAGUAACACGUGGGUGAUCUGCCUUGCACUUCGGGAUAAGCCUGGGAAACUGGGUCUAAUACCGGAUAUGACCUCGGGAUGCAUGUUCUGGGGUGGAAAGAUUUAUCGGUGCGAGAUGGGCCCGCGGCCUAUCAGCUUGUUGGUGAGGUAACGGCUCACCAAGGCGACGACGGGUAGCCGACCUGAGAGGGUGACCGGCCACACUGGGACUGAGACACGGCCCAGACUCCUACGGGAGGCAGCAGUGGGGAAUAUUGCACAAUGGGCGAAAGCCUGAUGCAGCGACGCCGCGUGCGGGAUGACGGCCUUCGGGUUGUAAACCGCUUUUGACAGGGACGAAGCGCAAGUGACUGUACCUGUAGAAUAAGGACCGGCCAACUACGUGCCAGCAGCCGCGGUAAUACGUAGGGUCCGAGCGUUGUCCGGAAUUACUGGGCGUAAAGAGCUUGUAGGCGGUUCGUCGCGUCGUUUGUGAAAACUUGGGGCUCAACCUUAAGCUUGCAGGCGAUACGGGCGGACUAGAGUACUUCAGGGGAGACUGGAAUUCCUGGUGUAGCGGUGAAAUGCGCAGAUAUCAGGAGGAACACCGGUGGCGAAGGCGGGUCUCUGGGAAGUAACUGACGCUGAGAAGCGAAAGCAUGGGUAGCAAACAGGAUUAGAUACCCUGGUAGUCCAUGCCGUA